CACUUUGCUGCCCUGUUUCCAAUUGUCCACAUGGCUGGGAGAACCUAAAUACCUUGUAACUGGAGAUUCAUUCAAAGCGAUUGCCUACAGUUAACGUGUAGGGCACUGCACGGUUGGGUGACCAGGGUCAUCUGGGACUGAGGAAUUCAGGUGUGUGAAGGCUACCUGUGUCCUGCAUAACUUCACCAGGAGGGGAUAUGCAGCCGCCGUGUGCCAGAGAAGUCUGCUGCUCUGCAGGAUGUUUCAAGGAUGGGGUACAACAACACAGCAAGAGAGGCAAUCCGUGUGCGGGAAAUCUUCACCUCCUACUUCUUUGAAGAUGGUGCUGUUCCCUGGCAACACAAUAGACUGCACUAUGCACAACCAAAGGCUCUUUUAAGAGCCAUUCACAUUGCAAUAAGAGUAGUCUUCCAUUUACUUAGCUAUGUCAUUUUUGCAGUUAUUCAAUUUCCAGUUUCUCUCCCUUUGAGUUCUACUUCUAAGGUGAGGGUGCUGUUUAGGUAAGGGUGUGAUGUCUGUACAAAAACAAAACAGGCUAUUUUAAAAUCACCCAUAUUGAAAAAAUGUAGAGCAAUUAGACACCCUAUAACCCAUACCUACACUCAUGUAUCAAUCUGAUUGAUGGAUUGUGUUGUGCAGUAAACAGGCUCAGGUGUAUAACUGUGGCUCCUUCCACCUUCAAAGAAUAGGCAAGAGGGCCAACCAUGGAGAAUAGUUAUAUCAGCUGUGUCGGUGAAACCCUCCCACAUUUGAACUGGCUACAUAGAUGGCACAGCAUGAUCAGAGAUGUUUUUAUUUGAGAGGAUGCCAACCCUGUCUCAUCAUCGCCACCUCAACUUUCGUGCCGACUAGACACUUAUGUAAUUGUUAUGAACUGAGAGAAUAUUUGGGUAGCACUAAUCAUUAAUCAUAUGCUGCCUUCCCUGCUCCUAUGUUCUUACCUCUUUCCCUGUCUUUUACACCUCUCUCACUGCCUCUUUCUUCCUGUUUUUAUAAUGCACAACAGAUGUGCAUUGAAGUACAGAUUGAACUUGUAUUUAUAAUAUUAUAAUAUUUGUAAUGCAUGUAUUUAUAACACUUGGAUUAUUAACUUCUUUUAAUAAAGCGUUUCACAUUCUCUA
ensembl:lncRNA